rnacentral:rRNA from 1 species
AGUGUUCAAUAGAACUGUGGUAGGUGAGUAAUGUCCCCUACUAGAAAGGAGAGGGCAAGGCUGGUGCCAGCCGCCGCGGUAAAACCAGCUCUUCAAGUGGUCGGGAUAAUUAUUGGGCUUAAAGUGUCCGUAGCCGGUUUAGUAAGUUCCUGGUAAAAUCGGGUAGCUUAACUAUCUGCAUGCUAGGAAUACUGCUAUACUAGAGGGCGGGAGAGGUCUGAGGUACUACAGGGGUAGGGGUGAAAUCUUAUAAUCCUUGUAGGACCGCCAGUGGCGAAGGCGUCAGACUGGAACGCGCCUGACGGUGAGGGACGAAAGCCAGGGGAGCGAACCGGAUUAGAUACCCGGGUAGUCCUGGCCGUAAACGAUGCAUACUAGGUGAUGGUACGGCCAUGAGCCGUAUCAGUGCCGUAGGGAAACCGUUAAGUGU